AUACAACUUUUAGCAACGGAUCUCUUGGCUCUCGCAUCGAUGAAGAACGCAGCGAAAUGCGAUAAGUAAUGUGAAUUGCAGAAUUCAGUGAAUCAUCGAAUCUUUGAACGCACCUUGCGCUCCUUGGUAUUCCGAGGAGCAUGCCUGUUUGAGUGUCAU
rnacentral:rRNA from 1 species